rnacentral:rRNA from 1 species
UACAGGCUUAACACAUGCAAGUCGAGGGGCAUCAGGAAGAAAGCUUGCUUUCUUUGCUGGCGACCGGCGCACGGGUGAGUAACACGUAUCCAACCUGCCCUUUACUCGGGGAUAGCCUUUCGAAAGAAAGAUUAAUACCCGAUGGCAUAAUGAUUCCGCAUGGUUUCAUUAUUAAAGGAUUCCGGUAAAGGAUGGGGAUGCGUUCCAUUAGGUUGUUGGUGAGGUAACGGCCCACCAAGCCUUCGAUGGAUAGGGGUUCUGAGAGGAAGGUCCCCCACAUUGGAACUGAGACACGGUCCAAACUCCUACGGGAGGCAGCAGUGAGGAAUAUUGGUCAAUGGGCGGUAGCCUGAACCAGCCAAGUAGCGUGAAGGAUGAAGGCUCUAUGGGCCGUAAACUUCUUUUAUAUAAGAAUAAAGUGCAGUAUGUAUACUGUUUUGUAUGUAUUAUAUGAAUAAGGAUCGGCUAACUCCGUGCCAGCAGCCGCGGUAAUACGGAGGAUCCGAGCGUUAUCCGGAUUUAUUGGGUUUAAAGGGAGCGUAGGUGGACUGGUAAGUCAGUUGUGAAAGUUUGCGGCUCAACCGUAAAAUUGCAGUUGAUACUGUCAGUCUUGAGUACAGUAGAGGUGGGCGGAAUUCGUGGUGUAGCGGUGAAAUGCUUAGAUAUCACGAAGAACUCCGAUUGCGAAGGCAGCUCACUGGACUGCAACUGACACUGAUGCUCGAAAGUGUGGGUAUCAAACAGGAUUAGAUACCCUGGUAGUCCACUCAGUAAACGAUGAAUACUCGCUGUUUGCGAUAUACAGUAAGCGGCCAAGCGAAAGCAUUAAGUAUUCCACCUGGGGAGUACGCCGGCAACGGUGAAACUCAAAGGAAUUGACGGGGGCCCGCACAAGCGGAGGAACAUGUGGUUUAAUUCGAUGAUACGCGAGGAACCUUACCCGGGCUUAAAUUGCAGUGGAAUGAUGUGGAAACAUGUCAGUGAGCAAUCACCGCUGUGAAGGUGCUGCAUGGUUGUCGUCAGCUCGUGCCGUGAGGUGUCGGCUUAAGUGCCAUAACGAGCGCAACCCUUAUCUUCAGUUACUAACAGGUCAUGCUGAGGACUCUGGAGAGACUGCCGUCGUAAGAUGUGAGGAAGGUGGGGAUGACGUCAAAUCAGCACGGCCCUUACGUCCGGGGCUACACACGUGUUACAAUGGGGGGUACAGAAGGCAGCUAGCGGGUGACCGUAUGCUAAUCCCAAAAGCCUCUCUCAGUUCGGAUCGAAGUCUGCAACCCGACUUCGUGAAGCUGGAUUCGCUAGUAAUCGCGCAUCAGCCACGGCGCGGUGAAUACGUUCCCGGGCCUUGUACACACCGCCCGUCAAGCCAUGGGAGCCGGGGGUACCUGAAGUACGUAACCGCAAGGAUCGUCCUAGGGUAAAACUGGUGACUGGGGCUAAGUCAU